AUUCUGACCUCAACGGACAUGGCUGCAAUAGCCAGGCACUCCCUGGGAAUUCUUUGCCUAUCCUUUCCAUUCUCAGGUGUACCAUGAAUCCAGAGACCUGAUCCAGUACCUCUUUCAGCAGAAACAUGAAUCAUUGGUAUUACAGAACAGGGAUGAAAGUCUUCCAGCCUCCAUUCUGCUAUGUCACAGACUGAAUCUACACUGCCCUGUAUCCCAGGAUGUGAUCCCAGAUUAAACUGGAUUAUAGAAAUCUACACUUCCAGAUAAUCUGGGAUAAGCAGAUAAUCUUAGAUCAGAUCCCAGAAUAUAGGGCAGUGUAGAUGGGGACUCAGUUAAAUGAAAUAGUUCCGGCUACUGACUCCACUCACAACAUAUUCUUCAUUAAAGUCACAAUUCUUUAUCAACCAGGCAUACUAUGCAUUGCAUUUUGUCCUAAAUCUGAGAAGGAGAGGAAAGGAUAAGAUCUUUUAGUGAUCAUUGGUUUGUAAAAUUGCCAUAUAUCAAAAUUACCGUAACUUGAGGGCACAUAAUAGGUACAAACAUUCCAAUGACAUCCUUGAAUGCCUAACUAAGGGCACACUAUAGGGUUGAAUCAUGUAACCAUCAAGAAUUCGUUGUUCUGUUUGCUUGGAAGCUCCGUUCCAUUUCCUCAUGAAUCAACUUAUAAAGGGCUUAGUUCAGCACUGGAGACUCACAACUCGCAACCACGAUGCAGCCUGGUUCCUUAGUCUUCUCCAUCCUCAUUGUAGGAGUCUUCCUCACAUUAUGUUCUGACCUGCUGGGCAUUCCUGGACAGGCCGAGGGUGGCAAGAGCUCCAAAAAAUCACUAGCAUCAUAAUGCAGACCACAGAUUGGAACAUUCAGAGAUCUGUUUCCACGCCACUUGUUCUUUUAGAAUGAAUGCACUUGGGAAAAGUCAGAUGCUUCCCAGUCUACUGUACCAACAUUGGUGAAGAUCUUUGCAUGCUCUUUAAUAAACUCUUUCUGCAUCUCAUUUGUUUUCUUUCUUGUGCUCUGUUUACCUUAAUCACUUUCAUGUCUAUAUGAGAGAAUUGAUGAGUACAUAUGAAAAAUUAAAUUAAUCCGUGCCGCUUUGUCUCCUAAUUUGCUUUGACUUUGUUGUCUAAACACUGUCUCAAUAUGGAUCAGACCUCCAUGCUUGGCCCCUUUGUAUAUAUCAUCACAGGUUCAGCUGCCCCUGCAUUUCUCCAGCACAGUUUCCUGCCAUUCCAGCCCAAUGCGUGUGCUUUUCCCCAGGAUAAUGUAUUGGGUUGAGUAUUGGACUAUGAUGUCAGAAUCCGGGGUUCAAUUUCGUGUUCAGUCAUGGAAUAUUAGGCAGAACAAACAUUCUCAGACCUAGAAAAGCUUGCGACAGGUUCUAGGGUUACUAUAAGUUGGAAAUGGUUGCAUUUCUUUCUAAAAUUAGGUGUUGGUGUUUUUUUUAAAAAAAGAAAGAAAGAAAAGAAAUACACACUUUCCUAAGAUUAGAUGCUUACGAACAGGCAAGUAGCACAAAUGAGCACUUAGCAGCACAACACGAAGAACUGGGCAGGAGACCUAUACACCCAAUCCAUAUCUGCAGAGAAAGAUUCUUGCACAUCUCUAGUAGUCUUUAUUUAAAUCCUCCAUUCCUUCCAAAAGUGGGACUCAAGGUGCCUUACAGUAAAAAAAACUACAAUAUCAAUAGCAUGGCAUCUAAAAAUCUCACUCUGUCGGGAUCCUGGAAUUGGCAAUAUAAAAAUACCUGUCAAUAACACAAAAAGCAAGCAGUAUAAGUCAUUCAUGUAUUAUGGUCCUGUAAGCAAUAAAAAGAUUCCUGAAUAACAAAGACUGCAUCAUCUGAUCUAUCCUUUAGCUAAGUAUGAACUACCUAAAGCUGAAAAAAUAUGGAAGCCCAGAUUAUUUUUGCUACAUCUCCCCUCAUUCCUCACAGUUGUUCAUAUGGAUUACAGAUGAUGGGAUUUGUAGCUGCUCCCCCAAUAUCUACGGGGUCCUUGUUGUCCAUUUCUGUUAUAUGAUAGCUGGUUUCCCAAACCCUACUAGAUGUAACCAGCAUAAACAUUGAGUAAGACAUUUGAAACUGCAGCUAGACACAACUUCUAGGGAGACAAUUAAUUCUAUUGUUAUGAUUGAAUUGCAAAAAAUGAAUAUGAGCUAUAGUGUUACACCCCUAGGCAGCGAGAACACUAAAAACCAACACAGAGGCCAAUAACAAUAUAAUAUUUUUAUUGAAGCAAAUAAAGUUCCAAAAGGAAAUAAGCAGCAAAGUAGAAUAAGCAAUUGACCUUUCAGGAAAGAUCAAAAUUAGUCCAUUAGGUGAAAGUCUUAUGUCCAAUAUUAAAGUCCCAUUUUGUCCUAAAUCUAAGAAGGAGAAGAAGGGAUAAGAUCUUUUAGUGAUCAUUUGUUUGUAAAACUGCCAUAUAUCAAAAUUACCGUAACAUGAUGGCACAUAAUAGGUACACACAUUCCAAUGACAUCCUUGAAUACCUAACUAAGGGCACACUAUAGGAUUGCAUCAUGUAAUCAUCAAGAACCCGUUGUUCUGUUUGCCUGGAAGCUCUGUUCCAUUUCCUCAUGAGUCAACUUAUAAAGGGUUUAGUUCAGCACUGGAGACUCACAACUCACAACCACAAUGCAGCCUGGUUCCUUAGUCUUCUCCAUCCUCAUUGUAGGAGUCUUCCUCACAUUAUGUUCUGACCUGCUGGGCAUUCCUCGACAGGCCGAGAGCUCCAAACAGCCUGCAAAAUGCCAACUGUCUGUAGAUCCUGGAACCGGCAAUAAAAAACUAAAUGUUUAUUACUACAACAUAAAAACGAAGACGUGCGAGUCGUUCAUUUAUCAUGGUUCUGGAGGCAAUGAAAAUAGAUUCCUAAAUAAAAAGGAUUGUGUCGCCAGUUGUCAACAAUGAGCAAAAUCACUAGCGUCAUAAUGCAGACCACAGACUGGAAUAUUCAGAGAUCUGUUACCACGCCACUUGUUCUUUUAGAAUGAAAGCACUUGGAAAAGUCAGAUGCUUCCCAGUCUACUGUACCAACAUUAGUGAAGAUCUUUGCAUGCUCUUCAAUAAACUCUAUCUGCAUCUCA